UACAGAGGGUGCAAGCGUUAAUCGGAAUUACUGGGCGUAAAGCGUGCGUAGACGGUUAUGUAAGUCAGGUGUGAAAGCCCCGGGCUCAACCUGGGAAUUGCAUUUGAGACUGCAUAGCUAGGGUGCGGAAGAGGGAAGCGGAAUUUCCGGUGUAGCGGUGAAAUGCGUAGAUAUCGGAAGGAACAUCAGUGGCGAAAGCGGCUUCCUGGUCCAGCACCGACGUUCAGGCACGAAAGCGUGGGGAGCAAACAGG
rnacentral:rRNA from 1 species